GCCAAUCCGGCCCAAGGAGACAACCCGCGGCGAUCGAAGACGAAGACGAAGACGAAAAGGAGGGGAGAAGAGGAAAAGGACGAAGACGAGCAAAUCGAAGAAGAAGAAGAAGAAAGAGCUUAAUCUCUCAAGAACAAAGCCCUAAGUUUGAGCCUCGGCGAGAAAGAUCUCAAGCAUCGUGCUGGUGGAUUCCACAAGAGGAGGAAGAAGAAGUGGUUUUAAGUGCAUCGAGGCACCGAAAAGGGUGAUCUCUUCUCUUCACUGUGUAUAAAAAUGGUAACUUUUGGUUUCUUCUCUCUAGAUUAGGGUUAGGGUCCCUGACCGUGUAUAAAAAAAAAACCAAGUCAAGAAGACGGGGGCGCUGAGAUCUCGCUUAAAAAGGUCACAUGAUAACAUUUGGAUGUUGGGUUUCAGUUAGAU